rnacentral:rRNA from 1 species
GCUUAACACAUGCAAGUCGAGGGGCAGCAUGGUCUUAGCUUGCUAAGGCCGAUGGCGACCGGCGCACGGGUGAGUAACACGUAUCCAACCUGCCGUCUACUCUUGGACAGCCUUCUGAAAGGAAGAUUAAUACAAGAUGGCAUCAUGAGUCCGCAUGUUCACAUGAUUAAAGGUAUUCCGGUAGACGAUGGGGAUGCGUUCCAUUAGAUAGUAGGCGGGGUAACGGCCCACCUAGUCUUCGAUGGAUAGGGGUUCUGAGAGGAAGGUCCCCCACAUUGGAACUGAGACACGGUCCAAACUCCUACGGGAGGCAGCAGUGAGGAAUAUUGGUCAAUGGGCGAGAGCCUGAACCAGCCAAGUAGCGUGAAGGAUGACUGCCCUAUGGGUUGUAAACUUCUUUUAUAAAGGAAUAAAGUCGGGUAUGCAUACCCGUUUGCAUGUACUUUAUGAAUAAGGAUCGGCUAACUCCGUGCCAGCAGCCGCGGUAAUACGGAGGAUCCGAGCGUUAUCCGGAUUUAUUGGGUUUAAAGGGAGCGUAGAUGGAUGUUUAAGUCAGUUGUGAAAGUUUGCGGCUCAACCGUAAAAUUGCAGUUGAUACUGGAUAUCUUGAGUGCAGUUGAGGCAGGCGGAAUUCGUGGUGUAGCGGUGAAAUGCUUAGAUAUCACGAAGAACUCCGAUUGCGAAGGCAGCCUGCUAAGCUGCAACUGACAUUGAGGCUCGAAAGUGUGGGUAUCAAACAGGAUUAGAUACCCUGGUAGUCCACACGGUAAACGAUGAAUACUCGCUGUUUGCGAUAUACAGCAAGCGGCCAAGCGAAAGCGUUAAGUAUUCCACCUGGGGAGUACGCCGGCAACGGUGAAACUCAAAGGAAUUGACGGGGGCCCGCACAAGCGGAGGAACAUGUGGUUUAAUUCGAUGAUACGCGAGGAACCUUACCCGGGCUUAAAUUGCAGAUGAAUUACGGUGAAAGCCGUAAGCCGCAAGGCAUCUGUGAAGGUGCUGCAUGGUUGUCGUCAGCUCGUGCCGUGAGGUGUCGGCUUAAGUGCCAUAACGAGCGCAACCCUUGUUGUCAGUUACUAACAGGUUCCGCUGAGGACUCUGACAAGACUGCCAUCGUAAGAUGUGAGGAAGGUGGGGAUGACGUCAAAUCAGCACGGCCCUUACGUCCGGGGCUACACACGUGUUACAAUGGGGGGUACAGAGGGCCGCUACCACGCGAGUGGAUGCCAAUCCCAAAAACCUCUCUCAGUUCGGACUGGAGUCUGCAACCCGACUCCACGAAGCUGGAUUCGCUAGUAAUCGCGCAUCAGCCACGGCGCGGUGAAUACGUUCCCGGGCCUUGUACACACCGCCCGUCAAGCCAUGGGAGCCGGGGGUACCUGAAGUGCGUAACCGCGAGGAGCGCCCUAGGGUAAAACUGGUGACUGGGGCUAAGUCGUA